rnacentral:rRNA from 3 species
UGGUAAGAAUAGCUGCGGGGGUACACCUGGUCCCAUUCCGAACCCAGAAGUUAAGCCCGUAAACGCUGAAAGUACUUGGAGGGAAGCCUCCUGGGAGGAUAGGAACUUGCCAAGCU